rnacentral:piRNA from 1 species
UCACAAGAGGAAGCCAAGUGGUGGAUGGAA